UCAUCACCUGCAGGAAGUCUGAGCGAGUCUAGGUCCACACAGAGAACAAUCACACAAACUGCCUGUUAAAUGUGCUGUUAAAGCUAGGACCAAUGUUAACUUCAAAAUCUGUCAAAAUCAAAUCACUUUAUUCUUCCGCUAGCAACUUAAGUCGUGGAAAGUGCCAGUGCAAGUCCAAACAACACAAAUAAACAAAAAAAAUACAUAUAGAUAAAUACAAAUUUUAAAAUGCUAAAAGUAUAAAACAAAUGUUAAAAAGAGAAGGACACACACACACACACACACACACACACACAAGCGAGACCAGGUCAGCUGUUCAGUAAUCUGAUGGAUGAGGGCACGAAACUGGUCAUGGUUCUCUUACUUUUAGUAGGGUAGGAGACUGUAGUGGCUAUGCAGUGUGUGUGCAGUGUCUGAAGCUAUUUUGAAACCUUUUUGUUUAGUUCUUCUGCUGUAAAUGCUGUGAAGUGGUUCCUGUGCCAGUCCCAUUGUUUUACUACUCAAGGUUAUGAUUUUGUUUAGUGGGUUGACCCACUAAAUCAUUACUGCAGGAGGGAUUGCUCUUUUGGGUACUUUUUGGUACUGGAUAGAUGAUUGAUCAUUUCCAUUGGGUUGAGAUGGAGUGUUCUGCCAGUUGGCUGCAGCAGGACUUUAGCAGCUGACCGGAGAUCUGAUCAGGUCCUGGCACUUUGUUGGGUUUUGUCCUUUUCAGCAUGAGUUCACCUCUUCUGGCUGCAGCUCCAGGGUUGCUUUGGUGGGUAACCUAGAGGUGAGCUUGACCAACAACUCCUUCCUCUCCUGUGAGUAGUCAGACUGGUCAAAUCUGCAAUAGAACUGACUGCGGGAACAUUACAUACGAGAUUUAUGUACUAUUAUCCCUAUGGUUGUUGUUGGAAAUGCCGGCCCGCCGCAUGAACGACUCUUGUUUAUUAUAUGGGGUAAUAGGUCAACCGGAAAACCAUAGACAUUAAUACGUAGAAGCCCUAAAGAACGCUGAACGGCGUUCCUACGUCACCGCCAUCUUUGUGGAGUCAGGAAUUAAUGUAUUAUUGUGUAUGCGGAAAACGGCCAUAUUAAGGUGGUAUUAUCCCGCUGAAAAGACACGUAUCGCCACCUAAUGUGGAGGAGGAGAACAGUUAUUCGAUUUUCUUGUGCUGCAUGUAAACUGGGACAAGGACUGUAGUCAGAAAGUCGAAUUUUGACCAUAGCUCAAUUAAGGUCUGCUGUUUUGAUGGGAUCAGCAGUCUGCAGUUUUGAACUGUUACUGGGAAGGCCAGCCAGUGCUUUGACACCACGCCAGGCGUCUCUGGCUUUGCCUUCCUGUUUUUCGACUCUCUCCUUGUAGUUUCUCUUUGCUGCUUUUAUUUCUUUAUUUAAUCUGUUCUGAAUGUGUUUUGACUCAAUUAUGUUUCCUGAUUUGAAUGCUAUUUUCUUUUCAUUCAGAGUUUUUUUCAAGGCUUUUGUGAUCCAAGGUUUAUUGUUGGAGAAUACUUUAACAGCUUAGCUGAACACAAAGACAGGAAACAAACUGUUUGCCUGAUUUCCACAUUCUGUCUUGUUCAGUCUGUACAAAGGGUAGGAUAACAAGAGUGGUAACUAGUGUUAAGAGUGGUUCAUAUGUUGCACAAGAAUAUUGUUUCUUAGUUGGUGUUGUGUCACAUUCUGUGACCCAUCUGUGACCUGAUUAAAAAAGUUAACUAGGUUUUAUGGCCACUGCAAACAGGUUUAACUCAUGACAUUAUUUUGUGAUACCUGCCUCUGUAAAAAUUAGUUAGAGUACUCAAACUACAGUACAGAACUUUGGUACACCUGAGUGUACUUGACUGACUCUGUGAACAAACAACAUGAAAAAGGCCUAAAGAUUACUAAUGAAAGGACUCAUCAGCUCUUUAAUUUAUACUGUAUUCUAGCAAAAUACGUGAAUUUAUCUGUGUUUGAGAAAGACUGAUAAAAAUUACUAUUCUGGCUAAAAUUAUUCCCUGGGCUGCAGAAUUUAGUACAAAACUGGAUGAAACUGGAUUACAUGUGUCAAGUGAGUGGAGAUCUGGGGCAAACAGCCCCCUGAAGCAGAGGCACUGUGUGUCUUUAGUUUAACCAAAUUUAAAGACAUUUGAACUGUGUUGACUUACAAUGUUGAUACUGGGUAGCAAUGAAGUUCAUAAAGUGAAUAAUGGUUAAGAAAUCUAUCUUGUGGUUUAGCAAAGAUGCAAUGUAAUAAAAACAUGAAAGAUCUGACUGAAAUAUGACCAAAUUGCUGAACACUGAUUAAUAUGUCAUGAGUGUAAGACCCUUAUUGUUUAGAAAGGUGAUUACUGUCUAUUUCAACUGUGAAAAUGUUGUGUUGCUGUAUUUUAAAACAAAAACACUAACUUUAAGUUUUAUCACAUACCAGGCACUGCCAGUCUUAGACGAUUAAAAGAAAGGAUUGGAGUGAGACAACCAACAAGGCGCACACUUCAUAUCUCCUCUCAUCCAACUGGCCCGAUGUAAAUGAGGCUAAUGAAUUACGGGUAAAUCCCACCACCCAACCAGCUCCGCAAAAGAAGAAAUUGGAAAAAGUGGGAGACUGGAUUUUGAGGAGACUGGUAGGAGCACCUGGACCAGCUGUGGCAGAUCACUCAUCAGCUCACUUUACAAGGAUUUCCGUGGCUUCCCUCCAGUGCCAGAUAAUUCUGCAGUUCUAGUUCUGUGCCAGCACAAGAGUCGCUUCUUGUGUGUGGUAGCGGAUGAAGAGACGUCCGCAGCAGUGCAGAUACCUAAGACAGGGAAUCGAUCCCUUGCCCUCUAGCUGUCAGGUGGUACUGGUGUCCAUCGAGAUGAUGAUGAUGAUGCGAGCUCCAGCAGAGGAAAAGUUAAACCCAC